rnacentral:lncRNA from 1 species
GCCCGGCGCCCCCUCCCUGCCCCCCCGAGCCGGGCUAACGGCGACGGAAAGGGAGGAUGUGGCGACUAAGGACAAAGGCUCACAAGCCGCAGAGGAGGAACAGCCCGGUCAGCUACAGGCACAGGCAAUUACAGGUAUUCGAGUCCGAACGCUUAACACCCAGAACGGCUCCUGGGAUCACGGUUCCAACAGGAUCGUGUACGCUGCUAACGUCGUCAGCCCCUGCAAGUCUAAAACGGGGAAAAUACGAUUUAUUGGGAGAGAUGGAGCAAACGGCACAAGGUGUUGUUUAGGCAAGAGAAGAGUUCACAUACUUCACAGCUUAACAGAACCUGAUGGCACGGAAGAUUUUUUUCACCCUCCCCUUAUCUUGAUUACGAGGAGGAAAGGUAAAUUAGCCUUUGCGCCCAAGCAAACAGGGACAUCCUUCUCUGCUGAAGGGAGAACAAUCUUUGAACCCAGCCGAUCACACAGCCUCAGACAGGAGAUCUUGAGGUCCUAGCUAUUGCUACAGAAGCCGCUGUGGUCUGAAAACCAGCGUGUAGUGGUUAAGUUCAGAACAACUGCAAUACCUUUAAAAUCUUUCAAAUGUCCAAAGCCUUAUCAUAAUUCUGGAAGAACAUCCAGUCCUACCUACACUGCAAGCCGUAAACCUAGUGAAGCGACAACAAGAGGUAAUCAGGGAUUUGCACAGAGCUGUUACAAGUUCAAAGGGACAAGGGAGGUUUUGUCGUUUUCCACUCGUUUCCGGGUGGUCAGGCACCCCGCAGUCGCACUGUACCACCACAUGACAGCUCCGGUGGAGGAGAAGACCUUCCCCGAGCAGCAGCCAGCAAGUCAGAGAGGUCAGGGAUGAGCACGAGGAAUUUCCUUGGACAAGAGCAGUGGUCGCCAGCCCCGGCUCACGGGCAGUGCCCCAUUCCUCCUCACGGUGCCGUUUUGCUUCCCCCAGACUCCUGUUUUCACAAGUGAACCGUUUGGGGGGGGGGGGGGGGGUUCACUUAAGCAGCUCCGCUCUCCCUGGCCGUGCCGGUUCCUGCUCGCGUGGGGCUCCGCGCCAGCGGGCCGCGGCCAAGGCAGCGUUGGGCAGCCACCGCAGCAGGAGCCGCCCCCGGCACCCGCUGCCCCUGCCUCCCCGCAGCAUCAGCCCAGACUUCCACCUGCCUUCAGCGAGAGGGGAGUCACCCGCCUGUCCUGCACGCUGGUCUACAACCAUGCGGGGUUUCUUCGUACGCACGCGCUCUGCAAACAUGGACAUGAGCACCUUCAUCGCCCAGCUCCAAAGUCCAGCAUCCUCAGAGCACUUUUUCUCCUGCUGUUUUCCCUAGGCAUACACUUGAUGCAAAGGUUCUUCCUGGUCACCAUGAUGCUGCAUGAUACCAAAGAUGAAGGUAUAAGCACAGAAGAGCCUGUCUGGACACAGAUGGGGAGAAGCAGAGGCGACAGAGAACCUCCGUGUUAUCUGAGACGAGAGACAGCAGGGGGUUGGUACUGGCUUGCCAGAGCGACAAGAAGGAAUAAUCUCUGCUAAAGACACCAGCCUCGUAGGGAUUAUAAAUGUAAAAGGAGAUGAAUUUAUACAGUUGAACCUAAUCCAUAGAAAACACUGCAGAGAGGACCAGGAGACAGGAGAGCGAGCCUGAUGGCUAGCUGUAGGCAACCAGCCAGGUGGUGACGGAUGAAUCAUGUUAAAAACCUACAGAGGAGCACCAGAAAAGGCCUUUUAAUAUAGAAGUGCUUUCUCUCCAGGUUGUCCCGCUUCACGGCUUUUGUGGAGGGCCUUUCUCAUUGCCCCGGUGCUGAGGACCGGGAGGCCCACGGCCACUGCCCAGCCCCAGCGUUCGCAGCACCGUCCCCACGUUGUCCUCCUCAGGAAGGCACAGCAAGAGCCUCUUGCAAACGCUCCCUUCUCGACAGCGGCCGAGGCGAAAGCGAGGCAGCUCAUCCUUGCGCAGUUUGCAUCUCUGUGAUGAUUAAAUUAAAGUGACGAGGCCCUAAUACUCCUCGCUGGCAUCUUUGGGACCAUAUAGCAUCACAGCAGCUCACACACGCCUGUUCCCUGAGCUCUGUAUCCUGCUUGUCCCUUCAUACUUAUCCUCUAUUUGAAAAAAACUGUACCCAUUCCAUACAGUCCAGGUUAAAACCUUCUACUUAGGAAAAUCUACAUACUCAUUUGCCAACAGCAGUCUUCAGGAAUAAUUUUGAGGCGGCCUUCCUAACUUACAGUCACAAAAGGUGCGGGUGCAGUAGUUAACGUGUACAGCUAGCUGCUCGUGGCACCCAUUUCUACCCAGCCUAUACCAGCAGAUAACUGGUCUUUUCCCAUGGCUUUGGGUCUCUGCACACACAAAUUGCUGCAUGUGCAUUUGUAGAGGCUUUUUAAAACAUGAGGUUUUGUAGCAGCAGGAAAUGGGGCCUCCGCUGAGGGUGGUGGGCUUGAGUUGCAAGCACACAAGAGAAGCCCACGAGGGCUCUGCCUGUGGCUGAGGCUGCUAAGCGCAGCUCACUCCAGCGAAUGCCAUGCUUGAAUACAGCACUCGUUAUAUUCAGCAAAAGGUUGUCAGCGUUUCUGCAGUGACACUGCAUGAGGACCCAAGUCCGCUCUCAUUUGCCAGACCAUUUCCUUCAUCUUGCGCUUGAGCAUCUCAGCAGACGCUGUGCAAGAUGCUGCAAUGCAAGCGAGAACAAACCCUGCCACAGUGCCCUGGCUGGUGGCCUGUCUCCUGGGCUGGGAGACUGAAAGACGGUUUCCAAAGCUGGAGAGGUAUAAAAUAUUGUGAUAGCUAAAAGUGAACUGUCAUGGUCUUUCAAAUGAAAGGGAGGCAAAGUGCAUAGCAGAGGCAAAGUAAUUUGAUUCCAGAAAAAAACAAUUUACUGCUAAAACCAGUCACAGUGCGGUUUUGGCUGUUCACAUCAGAAGAACAAGCACUUACGAUGUCUUUAAUUAUUCAUUUUUAUAAGUCUUGUACUAGCUCUGCAACAACCGUAAAUGCAUUCUACUAAAUAUAAAUAAAC